GCCGGAGUAGCACAACUGGCAGUGCAACGGUUUUGUAAACCGUAGGUUGGGGGUUCGAGUCCCUCCUCCGGCA
rnacentral:tRNA from 1 species